AUUGAACGUUGGCGGCAGGCUUAACACAUGCAAGUCGAGCGGGGGAAGGUAGCUUGCUACCGGACCUAGCGGCGGACGGGUGAGUAAUGCUUAGGAAUCUGCCUAUUAGUGGGGGACAACAUCUCGAAAGGGAUGCUAAUACCGCAUACGUCCUACGGGAGAAAGCAGGGGAUCUUCGGACCUUGCGCUAAUAGAUGAGCCUAAGUCGGAUUAGCUAGUUGGUGGGGUAAAGGCCUACCAAGGCGACGAUCUGUAGCGGGUCUGAGAGGAUGAUCCGCCACACUGGGACUGAGACACGGCCCAGACUCCUACGGGAGGCAGCAGUGGGGAAUAUUGGACAAUGGGGGGAACCCUGAUCCAGCCAUGCCGCGUGUGUGAAGAAGGCCUUAUGGUUGUAAAGCACUUUAAGCGAGGAGGAGGCUACUUUAGUUAAUACCUAGAGAUUGUGGACGUUACUCGCAGAAUAAGCACCGGCUAACUCUGUGCCAGCAGCCGCGGUAA
rnacentral:rRNA from 1 species